GUGCUUGCUUCGGCAGCACAUAUACUAAAACUGGAAUGAUACAGAGAAGAUUAGCAUGGUCCCUGCGCAAGGAUGACACAGAAAAAAAAAAUGCCUGGUGAU